rnacentral:rRNA from 1 species
CCUACGGGCGGCAGCAGUGAGGAAUAUUGGUCAAUGGACGAGAGUCUGAACUAGCCAAGUAGCGUGAAGGAUGACUGCCCUAUGGGUUGUAAACUUCUUUUAUAUGGGAAUAAAAUGUUCCACGUGUGGGCUUUUGUAUGUACCCUAUGAAUAAGGAUCGGCUAACUCCGUGCCAGCAGCCGCGGUAAUACGGAGGAUCCGAGCGUUAUCCGGAUUUAUUGGGUUUAAAGGGAGCGUAGGUGGAUUGUUAAGUCAGUUGUGAAAGUUUGCGGCUCAACCGUAAAAUUGCAGUUGAAACUGGCAGUCUUGAGUACAGUAGAGGUGGGCGGAAUGCGUGGUGUAGCGGUGAAAUGCUUAGAUAUCACGAAGAACUCCGAUUGCGAAGGCAGCUCACUGGACUGCAACUGACACUGAGGCUCGAAAGUGUGGGUAUCAAACAGGAUUAGAUACCCCUGUAGUC